AGAGUUUGAUCAUGGCUCAGGAUGAACGCUGGCGGCGUGCCUAACACAUGCAAGUCGAGCGAUCUUCUUCGGAAGAGAGCGGCGGACGGGUGAGUAACGCGUGGGUAACCUGCCUCAUACACAUGGAUAACAUACCGAAAGGUAUGCUAAUACAAGAUGAUAUAAGAGAUUCGCAUGGAUUUCUUAUCAAAGCUUUUGCGGUAUGAGAUGGACCCGCGUCUGAUUAGCUAGUUGGUAAGGUAAUGGCUUACCAAGGCGACGAUCAGUAGCCGACCUGAGAGGGUGAUCGGCCACAUUGGAACUGAGACACGGUCCAAACUCCUACGGGAGGCAGCAGUGGGGAAUAUUGCACAAUGGGCGAAAGCCUGAUGCAGCAACGCCGCGUGAGCGAUGAAGGCCUUCGGGUCGUAAAGCUCUGUCCUCAAGGAAGAUAAUGACGGUACUUGAGGAGGAAGCCCCGGCUAACUACGUGCCAGCAGCCGCGGUAAUACGUAGGGGGCUAGCGUUAUCCGGAUUUACUGGGCGUAAAGGGUGCGUAGGUGGUUUCUUAAGUCAGGAGUGAAAGGCUACGGCUCAACCGUAGUAAGCUCUUGAAACUGGGAAACUUGAGUGCAGGAGAGGAAAGUGGAAUUCCUAGUGUAGCGGUGAAAUGCGUAGAUAUUAGGAGGAACACCAGUAGCGAAGGCGGCUUUCUGGACUGUAACUGACACUGAGGCACGAAAGCGUGGGGAGCAAACAGGAUUAGAUACCCUGGUAGU
rnacentral:rRNA from 1 species